UGUGAGUGAAGAAGGCCUUCGGGUCGUAAGGCUCUGUCAAGUGGGAAUAAAGUCCCUCGGUGAAUACCCGAGGGAUCUGAAGGUACCACUAAAGGAAACACCGGCUAACUCCGUGCCAGCAGCCGCGGUAAUACGGAGGGUGCAAGCGUUAUUCGGAUUUAUUGGGCGUAAAGAGCGUGUAGGCGGUUGGGAUAGUCAGACGUGAAAGCCUUCUGCUCAACAGAAGAAGUACGUCUGAAACUGCCAAACUUGAGUACGAGAGAGGAAAGUGGAACUCCCAAUGUAGAGGUGAAAUUCGUAGAUAUUGGGAGGAACACCUGUGGCGAAGGCGACUUUCUGGAUCGAUACUGACGCUGAGACGCGAAAGCGUGGGUAGCAAACAGGAUUAGAUACCCUGGUAGUCCACGCUGUAAACGAUGGGAACUAGGUGUAGCGGGUAUUGAUCCCUGCUGUGCCAAAGCUAACGCAUUAA
rnacentral:rRNA from 1 species